GUUGUCGUGUGGAUGUGUGGGUGGCGAAGGCAUUAUGGAGGUUUGGUCGUUUGGUGUCUUUUCUUGUUACGCAGGUUUUCUGCCUCGGCCUGUCUGUGGAGCGCCGUUAACGGCACACCGUAAAGGGAAAGAAAUGUCACCGCCGACAGUCGUCGACAGCCGUAUGCUGCAAUCAAAGAUGAAGAAUUUUCUUCCUUGGCCCGUCUGUGUUAAAGAAAGGAAAUGUCACUGUGGAUCGUUGUAGACAACAGUCUGCAGCCAUCAAACAUGAAAAGGUACUGAGAGCUGCACUACCUGCCAACCAGAGACACCACAAAAUGAAACGCUCGAGACGCCCACUAGAGGAGGUAACACGGACACAAAGGCGCAGACGCCGUGAAGAAUACAUUGCAUCGGUCUUGCACUCAGUUGGUGAGAGGCAUGAAGACACAGACUCGGACACUUCCGUUCAGCACACAGUUGGUGAGAGGCAUGAAGACACAGGCCCGGACGCAUAUUUCCAAACCCGCUCCUGUACAACGGAUCGCUGCCGCCGCCGCCUCCAGUUAGCGCGCCGGCGGCGGUACACUGGGUAUUCCGGCGGCGGCAGAAAAUGUCAUGGCGGCCGCUAUAUUUGUGUUCGGUGGUUAGGAGCGUGUUACUGGACAGCUAAUGAGUGAGAAGUAAAUGAUAGACGUGUUUAGGUGUCUUUGGAUGGCAUUAAUCAAUGUACAAGUCCUUCGGACAUUUAUGUGCCUUGCUUUUGAGAACGUGGGACCACGGAUAGUCAACGUUUUGAGUGAAAGUGAAGACGUGCUGCUGCUCCGUGCCUCCGGUUUGCGAUGGCAUGAAUGCCCAUUGUCGUUCAAAUU